GAAAUUCUCAUAAGUGUUGAUGCAUCUCCUGCAGCUUUGGAAUAUACUCCAAAGAAAUCAUAUGCUUCAAUUGUGAAAGUAACGAAAGGUACAGUGCUUAGUUCAGUGUAUGUUGCCACUAAUUCAAAGGUGGCACCUGCAAACUCUGAAAAACAAUCCCUUAACUCCGCAAAACCUGCUUAUGCCCCAGAGGUUGUUGCUCCUACUAGUGUUGGUGCUCAUGAACAAGUAGUGAUGUUCAUGAAGAAGCUGAAGGUUAUUCCAUAUACAUACGGAAUUUACCUUUUAAUGCAACAGCUGUACAACUUGAUGAGGUGUUUAAAAAAUUUGGGCCAAUAAAGCGAGGUGGCAUCCAAGUUAGAAGUAACAAGCAAGGAUUCUGUUUUGGCUUUGUUGAAUUUGAAACAUGGAAUUCCAUGCAAAGUGCACUUGAGGCUUCACCUAUCAAUAUUGGGGAUUGUCAAGCUACUGUUGAGGAAAAGAAAACCAACACCCGAGUUGCUAGUAGCGGGAGGGGGAGGUACUCCUCAGGAAGAGGUGGUUUUAGGAGUGACAGUUUCAAGAACCGUGGGAACUUUGGCAGCAGCCGUGGUUAUGGCAGAAAUGAAUUCAGAAACCAGGGUGAAUUUUCACUGCGACCUAAGGGUUCAGCUGGGCGCAGUGGUGAUGAUUACCAGCGGACUAAUCCAAAUGGAAGCAGAAGGGC
rnacentral:misc_RNA from 1 species